rnacentral:sRNA from 1 species
CUCCUCGUUCUGCUGUUCUCGGGGCUUACAUCGGAGCGGACAUUUUGCUGGACAUUCGGUGGUCGAUUCUCUCCUACUUCUCACUGGUUACUUAUCUCACGGUACCUACUCGAGGAUCAUACCAUAAAGAUGGCUUCCGCAAACGACUCCAAAUGGCAGAAAGACGCCGCCGACCAGAACUUCGACUACAUGUUCAAGCUGCUCAUCAUCGGCAACAGCAGCGUGGGAAAGACGUCCUUCCUGUUCCGGUACGCGGACGACUCCUUCACUUCCGCCUUCGUCUCCACGGUGGGCAUCGACUUUAAGGUCAAGACGGUCUUCAGACAGGACAAGCGGGUCAAGCUGCAGAUCUGGG